rnacentral:rRNA from 1 species
CGCAUAUCAAUAAGCGGAGGAAAAAGAACUAACAAGGAUUCCCCUAGUAGCGGCGAGCGAAGCGGGAAGAGCUCAAAUUUGUAAUCUGGCGCUUUCAGCGUCCGAGUUGUAAUCUCUAGAAAUGUUUUCCGCGUUGCACCGCACACAAGUCUGUUGGAAUACAGCGGCACAGUGGUGAGACCCCCGUUCAUGGUGCGGAUGCGCAAUGCUUUGUGAUACAUUUUCGAAGAGUCGAGUUGUUUGGGAAUGCAGCUCAAAUUGGGUGGUAAAUUCCAUCUAAAGCUAAAUAUUGGCGAGAGACCGAUAGCGAACAAGUACCGUGAGGGAAAGAUGAAAAGCACUUUGGAAAGAGAGUUAACAGUACGUGAAAUUGUUGGAAGGGAAACGCUUGAAGUCAGACUUGCUGUUCGGAGUUCAGCCGCAAGGUGUACUCUCCGAGUUGCAGGCCAGCAUCAGUUUUUCGGGGUGGAAAAUCACGGUUUGAAGGUAGCAGUUUCGGCUGUGUUAUAGCUUUCCGUUGGAUACAUCCUGGGGGACUGAGGAACGCAGUGUGCUUUUAGCAGGGGUUUCGACCUCUUCACACUUAGGAUGCUGGUGGAGCCUGGCUU